ACGCUGUCGAGAAAAACUUCUAGUGAGAGCAAACGUGCCCGUACUGAAACCGACACUGGUGGGCAAGUAGAGAAUACUAAGGCGACGUGUGAAACCCUCUUAAGGAACUCGGCAAAUUAGCCCCGUAACUUAGGGAAAAGGGGUGCCCUGGCAGGUGAAGGAUUUACUCCGUAAGCUUGUUGGGGUCGCAGUGAAAUGGCCCAACCGACUGUUUAACAAAAACACAGGUCUCUGCCAAGCCGCAAGGCGACGUAUAGGGGCUGACUCCUGCCCGGUGCUGGAACGUUAAGGGGAGAGCUUAGGGGCAACCCAAAGGCUUGAACCGAAGCGCCAGUAAACGGCGGCCGUAACUAUAACGGUCCUAAGGUAGCGAAAUUCCUUGUCGGGUAAGUUCCGACCCGCACGAAUGGAGUAACGAGUUGGGCACUGUCUCGAGAGGGGGCCCGGCGAAAUUGCAAUCCCUGUGAAGAUGCAGGGUACCCGCAGCAAGACGGAAAGACCCCGUGGAGCUUUACUGAAGCUUGAUGUUGAUUUUUGGUUAAUUCUGUACAGGAUACGUGGGAGACUAUGAUGGGUGGACGCAAGUUCGCUCGGAGUCAUCGUUGGGAUACCACGCUGAAUUGGCUGGAACUCUAACUCAGCACCUAAUCGGUGUUGGGGACAGCGUCUGGUAGGCAGUUUGACUGGGGCGGUUGCCUCCUAAAGAGUAACGGAGGCGUUCAAAGGUUCCCUCAGCCUGGUCGGGAAUCAGGCGCAGAGUGCAAGCGCAUAAGGGAGCUUGACUGCGAGACGAACAUGUCGAGCAGAGUGGAAACACGGAGCUAGUGAUCCGGCGGUGCCGAGUGGAAGGGCCGUCGCUUAUCGGAUAAAAGCUACCCCGGGGAUAACAGGCUUAUCACGCCCAAGAGUCCAUAUCGACGGCGUGGUUUGGCACCUCGAUGUCGGCUCAUCGCAUCCUGGGGCUGAAGUCGGUCCCAAGGGUUGGGCUGUUCGCCCAUUAAAGCGGUACGUGAGCUGGGUUCAGAACGUCGUGAGACAGUUCGGUCCCUAUCUGCUGUGGGCGCAAGAUAUUUGAGGGGAUCUGUCCUUAGUACGAGAGGACCGGGAUGGACAGACCGCUAGUGAACCAGUUGUCAUGCCAGUGGCAGAGCUGGGUAGCUAUGUCUGGAGGGGAUAAACGCUGAAAGCAUCUAAGCGUGAAGCCCACCCCAAGAUGAGAUAUCUCUCCACGUAAGUGGGUAAGAGCCAUGGAAGACAACCAGGUUGAUAGGUCGGGUGUGUAAGCGCAGUAAUGUGUUGAGCUAACCGAUACUAAUCGCUCGAGCGACUUC
rnacentral:rRNA from 1 species